GUCUGUUGAAGAUGCUCUUAGACAUAGAGUAACUUGAUCUUUGCCAGUUUGCCACCAAAUGCAGAACUAACAUGGUUCCUUCCAGGCGUAUGAGGUUUUAUUAGCUAGCUAGGUCUCAAAGAUCUCAUCAGCGUGUAUGACACAUCUUAUCAUGUACAAACUUAUGGUAUCAUGUACAAACUUAUGGUGCUAAUGACACUACUACGCAACUGUUAACGGCC
rnacentral:lncRNA from 1 species